AUCGCUACCAACAACAACUUCUCAACCAGUCAGUACUAAUCAUUUAUAAUCACUAUCAAACGUUCUGAAAACGCUGCCACCUGCAACCGCAAACGCUGCGGUACAACCAGUCGAACCCUAAGACUUGAAACCGUUGAUGCUAACAUUUUAUCUUCAAUAUGUUUAUAUAUGGACAGAGUCCAGAUGGAGAUAUAAUAGAUUGUAUCCCUAUUACCAACCAGCCGGCGUUUGACCAUCCUUUGCUGAGGAACCACAUCAUCCAGAUGAGGCCAAGUUCCGAACCCGAAGGCGAUCUUGCAGAAGAGGCCGAGGGAAAGCCGAAGGGUAUACGUCAGCUAUGGCACAUGUACGGAGAGUGCCCGGAAAACACAGUUCCGGUCAGAAGAACAAAAGAAGAAGAUCUCUCUUGUCUCGGUUCGUCUACUUACAUUCUUUCUUCUUUUGCCUUCUGUAUAUGUAUAUAUACAGGUCUAUCAACAGUUGUACGGUGACUACAACACAAGACUUUUUAUCUACUGGACACGAGAUGCAUACCAACACACAGGUUGCUACAAUCUUCUGUGCUCAGCGUUUGUCCAGACGGACAGAACUUUCGUCCUUGGUGGAACCCUCAAUCCAACAUCAUCGUAUGGAGGUACCCAGUACGAAAUCAGUCUACUCAUAUGGCGGGACAAGAACGCAG